rnacentral:rRNA from 1 species
UGAGGAAUAUUGGUCAAUGGACGCAAGUCUGAACCAGCCAAGUAGCGUGCAGGAUGACGGCCCUAUGGGUUGUAAACUGCUUUUAUAUGGGGAUAAAGUGGGGAACGUGUUCCCUUUUGCAGGUACCAUAUGAAUAAGGACCGGCUAAUUCCGUCCCAGCAGCCGCGGUAAUACGGAAGGUCCAGGCGUUAUCCGGAUUUAUUGGGUUUAAAGGGAGCGUAGGCUGUUUGUUAAGCGUGUUGUGAAAUGUAAGAGCUCAACUUUUAGAUUGCAGCGCGAACUGGCAGACUUGAGUGCGCACAACGUAGGCGGAAUUCAUGGUGUAGCGGUGAAAUGCUUAGAUAUCAUGACGAACUCCGAUUGCGAAGGCAGCUUACGGGAGCGCAACUGACGCUAAAGCUCGAAGGUGCGGGUAUCGAACAGG